GAGCGAGCGGGCGGGCGGGAAGCUGCGGGUCGGGGGGAGCGCGGCUGGAAAAGGGGGAGUAAAAUAAAACUUAAAACAUUAUCCUGUUCCCCCCCUCCCCCUCCCCCCUCCACUCCACCGACAAGUGAAUUAUAACACGGUCCCGGCAUUAGAGACUGGGAGCCGAGCGUGGCUUGCGGAGACCGGAGCGGCCUUGCCUUGCCCUAGUUGCCGGGCUGAGGAAGGAAGGAAGGAAGGAAGAUGUCGGAGAACCAGGCGAACAACGCCAACAACCGGGCGCGGAACAACAACGUCAACCCCAACCCGCUCAUCAAUGUCCGCGACCGCCUCUUCCACGCUCUCUUCUUCAAGAUGGCCGUCACCUACGCCAGGGUCUUCCCCCCCUCGUUCCGCAGGAUGUUCGAGUUCUUCGUGCUGCUCAAGGCUCUCUUUGUGCUUUUUAUUUUGGCUUAUAUUCACAUUGCCUUUUCGCGAUCUCCAAUCAACUGCUUGGAGCACAUCCGUGAGAAAUGGCCGCGGGAUGGUAUUCUCCGUGUAGAAAUCCAACGGAAUUCCAGCCGUGCACCCAUUUUUCUUCAGUUCUACGAAUCGGAUAACUUUGCAGGAAUGGUGAAGGAGCCAACAGAAGACGAAGAAGAGCUGAGCGUAGAAAUGUUUGACAACACUUCCAUACAGUUUGAACUAGACAUAGAGCCUAAAGUGUUCUUAAAGCCCUCACUUGGAAAUAAGCCCGACGUUGUAACACAGGUGGUGCAAAAUGACAGCCAGGGACUUUCAUUUACAGAGGCACCGACGAAAGGAAUGCAGCCUCUGCAGGAAACUGUCUCCGAGUUUGAGAUGCUGACAAGAGCAGUUUGGCCACAAGAGGAGUACAUUGUUGAAUACUCAUUGGAGUAUGGAUUCCUGCGUCUCUCUCAGAGCACCAGGCAGCGCCUCAACAUCCCAGUUAUGGUCGUUACGCUAGAUCCAACUAAAGAUCUCUGCUUUGGGGAUGGCUUUAGCCGGUUUCUUUUGGAUGAAUUCUUGGGGUAUGAUGAUAUACUGAUGUCCAGUGUGAAAGCAUUGGCUGAAAAUGAAGAAAACAAAGGGUUUUUGCGCAAUGUUGUAUCAGGAGAACACUACCGUUUUGUCAGCAUGUGGAUGGCCAGAACCUCCUACCUAGCAGCCUUCGUCAUCAUGGUCAUAUUUACAUUGUCAGUUUCUAUGCUGUUACGUUACUCUCAUCAUCAGAUCUUUGUCUUUAUUGUUGAUUUGUUGCAGAUGCUGGAGAUGAACAUGACCAUUGCAUUUCCUGCAGCUCCUUUACUUACAGUGAUACUAGCACUCGUUGGUGAGAAUGUUUUGUCAUCUGUAGAGUUUUUAUUGAGACACAACAGACUGCAGAUGCUGGAGAGGGAGCAAAAAGCAAACUGCUGGAGGAACUCAUUGGGUCAGGCAGCAUCUGUGGAGGGAAAUUGGCAGUUGAUGUUUUGGGUCGAGACCCUUCAUCUGAACUGCGUGGAGGGGAGAUGGCCAGUAAAAAGGGAUGGAAGCCAUAAUGUCGGAAUUCUUCAAUGACACGACCACGGCAUUUUAUAUCAUUUUAAUUGUCUGGUUGGCAGACCAGUAUGACGCAAUUUGCUGUCAUACUAACACCAGCAAACGCCAUUGGCUUCGAUUCUUUUACCUGUACCACUUUGCCUUUUAUGCCUAUCAUUAUCGCUUCAAUGGCCAGUACAGCAGUUUGGCUUUGGUAACAUCUUGGCUGUUCAUUCAGCACUCGAUGAUCUACUUCUUCCAUCACUAUGAACUGCCGGCUAUUCUUCAACAAAUUCGCAUUCAGGAGAUGUUGCUCCAGAACCAACAGGCUGGCCAAGCCAACCAGACAACACUUCAGGAUAACCUCAACAACAACACUGCCACAGAAAGUGUUCAACAAAACCCCACUGAUCCAGAAAAUCUUCUUGAACCUACUCCUGGUCCUGCCCAGUCGAAUGAUGCACCCAGCCUAGCAGACAGCAUUCAACCUACUCGCAUGCAGAAUGCAAACCCUGAGGAGACCCCAUUAAGUGGUAAUCUGAAUUGGGUGGCAGAAACUGCAGCAAUCAUAUCAGAAGGCAUUGCAGCUCCAGAAAGGAAUACUUCUGCAGAGAGCUCCGGCAAUGUGAACGAGACAUUAAGUAAUAAUGGUUCAAAUGUCCCGAAUGUUUUAAAUGAUUCUAGUCCCAUUGAACAUGUUCAACCAACUUCAAGUUCCGAAGCUAAUGAAGCCGUGUCUUCGCACAGUGGUGAUCUUCAAACAGUAAUGGACCUCAGCACAAGGAAUCAUUGUGCAACAGAGAACCAAGAGGGAGUUGUCACUAAAAGUGACCGCCAGGACUUGUGUCCCACACAAGACAAUGAAACCCAUGUGCAUUCAUCUCUACCUGAUAAUGAUGUUAGUUUUGACCAAUCAGAAAUGGACCGUGGCAGCCAAACUAAUGUUUCAAAGAGCACAAACACAGAGACAAGUGGGCACAGCGUUUCAUGAACCUUCCGGCAUGUUUGCUGUUCUAUCAGGCAGUUUGCUAAAAAGGCCCUUUUUUAAAAAGUUCACAAAAUAUGUACCAAUUGGUAAGGGGGAUCCACUGUAACAUCGAGCGUUUUCAUUUGCAAAACCAAAAUGUCCCACUACUUUCAGCUGGUUUCCUAAAGUAAAUAGGAGGGAGUGGAGCAGCACCCUGCUCGGUGAACGUCAAUGGUCGGAGCUCAAUUGGAAUGAUAACCCCUCCAUUCAAUCACCGUGUCCCUAACCGUCAGCACUGCUGUGUGCAUUACUGUUACACUAGUGCAAUGAUCGGUCUGCAGUGGCAGCGGAAGACCUCCUACAAAGAAUCAACGGAACUCGCAGCUGGGUACCCAAAAAAAGGCAAAUGUGUGAAAGGCGGUAGAAGAUGCUUGUUCCUUUGAACUCACAGCAUACAUACAUGUAAGUUGAUUCCACAGUGCAAUAAUUUGACGUGUAUUGAUUCAAUUCUGCUAAUGUCUUAUUACCUGAAAGACUUUCAAGUCUUCUUUCUUGAACUGGUGCCUACAUACAGAAGAAAUUCAAAAGAAGGUAGUGUAGCAAUUCCAGUGGCUUCUAAUAAACUUUAAACCUAAACUAAUUUGGAACUGAUUCUGAUUGAUUUUUUUUUUUUUUGUUGACAAUAUUGUAUUUAAAUGUAAUGUAAGAGUUUCAGUCUUUGUACAUAUUAAAAUAAAUGAGAUCUGAACAUGCUUGUGAAUUACUUUUAAAA